UACGGAGGGUGCGAGCGUUGUCCGGAAUCACUGGGCGUAAAGGGCGCGUAGGCGGCGCGGGAAGUCAUCGGUGAAAGUUCAGGGCUCAACUCUGAAUCGACCGGUGAUACUCUCGUGCUUGAGCACUGUAGAGGCAGGUGGAAUUCCGGGUGUAGCGGUGGAAUGCGUAGAGAUCCGGAAGAACACCGGUGGCGAAGGCGGCCUGCUGGGCAGUAGCUGACGCUGAUGCGCGACAGCGUGGGGAGCAAACGGGAUUAGAAACCCCCGG
rnacentral:rRNA from 1 species